UUUCAGAAGGAAGGAAGCAUGCUCUUGGUAUGCAAGUGAGCAGAAUUUCACACUGAUCAAAUAAUGCUGCAGUCCUACCUAUUACUAGAUGAUACAUCUCUGUGACUCAGAACCCUACAAUCAAUUAGAUUCAUAUAUCCUGACAAGUGAGAAGAGGAAGACAGCCCUGGAACAGAGAAUGAUGUUGCAACUGAACUGACCAAGCUCCAUGCUGAGCACCUCACUGAGGACUUGUACACCUAGAAGACAAACUCUGCUGCAGUGGCUCCUCGGAGUGAGGGGAACUGCUUGGAUCACAUCCUGGGAUUUUCUACUAGUUGACAAAAUGCAGUUUCGUGAACAUGCUGAUAAGCAAUUGUUCAUCAUAAAGUCUUUAUAGCCCUGGAACAAACCUUGGGGCUAAUCAGUGUUAUUAAUUAACAUAGAUUUCAGAGCUAAUGAGCUGAAA